rnacentral:rRNA from 1 species
AUACGUAGGUGGCGAGCGUUGUCCGGAAUUACUGGGUGUAAAGGGUGCGUAGGCGGGGUAGCAAGUUGGAUGUGAAAUGCUCAGGCUCAACCUGAGAACUGCAUUCAAAACUGUUGCUCUUGAGUAGAGUAGAGGCAAGCGGAAUUCCCGGUGUAGCGGUGGAAUGCGCAGAGAUCGGGAGGAACACCAGUGGCGAAGGCGGCUUGCUGGGCUUUUACUGACGCUGAGGCACGAAAGCAUGGGUAGCAAACAGGAUUAGAUACCCUGGUAGUCCAUGCCGUAAACGAUGAUUACUAGGUGUGGGUGGACUGACCCCAUCCGUGCCGGAGUUAACACAAUAAGUAAUCCACCUGGGGAGUACGACCGCAAGGUUAAA